UGGUCUAUGUGUCAUUUUUAUGCCAUUACCAUACAGUUUUGAUUACAGCUUUGAAAUAUAGUUUGAAAUCAGGAAGUGUGAUGGCUCCAGUUUCAUUCCUCUUUCUCAGGAUUGCUUUUGGCUCUUUUGGGGUCUUUUGUAUCCCAAACAUAUUCUAGGAUUUUUUUUCUAUUUCUAUUAAAAAAUACCAUUGGAAUCUUGAUAAGGAUUGCAUUGUAUCUACAGAUUUCUUGAGGUAGUAUGGACAUUUUAAUAAUUUGAAUUCUUCCAAUCCAUGAACACAGGAUAUCUUUCCAUAUGUGUCUUCAAUUUAUUUCAUCAGUGUCUUAUAGUUUUCAUUGUACAGAUUUUUCAUCUUCGAGUUAACUUUAUUCCUAGGUAUUUCAUUGUUUUGGAUGCUAUUGUGAAUGGGAUUGUUUUCUUUAUUUUUCAGUUAGUUCUUUGUUAGGGAACAUAAAUACAACUGAUGUUUGUAUGUUGGUUUUCUUUCCUGCAACUUUAAUGAAUUUAUUAGUUCUAACAGUGUUUCAGUGGAGUCUCUGGGGCUUUCUACAUACUCUAGUUUUGUUCAAAACGGCCCAUUUUAAUGAUGUGGAAACUUAGGCUCAGAGUAGUUAAAUAAGGGUCACAGGGUCACAGCUAGAACUCGUGGUCUUAACUCAGUUCCAAUUCUGCCUAUCUCCAAAGUCUUCCUAGCAUAAGAUUCUGCCUCUACUAGUCAGUCCUUGAAACAGUACAAAGGACUAGAUGGUACAACACCUCCUUUCAAGAAGAAACAAAAAAGAACGUUCAGAUUAUGCACCUGAGCACCUGUAGCUUCAUUCCCAUCCCAGGUGCUCUCCUACAACCUGAGUGUAUAUGUGAUAGAUGGUCAUCUCUAUAGAGAUUGGGGGUGACCCUGUGCACCUGUAACUGCCUCUAGGUGUUUGUGUAUUUGUGAACUUACGAUGCACAUUAUGUGCUGCCAUUGUGGCGUGUGUUGGUGUGUGUCUGUGGGAUGUGUGUAUCUGUGUGAAGUAUGUGUGGGGAGUGUGUGUGGUGUGUGGCAUGUGUUGGUAUGUGUCAGUGUAAUGCAGGAGAGUGUUUUGUGUGGUAUGUGUGGGGUGUGUGGUGUGUUUUGGCGUGUGUCUGUUGAUGUGUGGGGGGAAGGGUGUAUGGUGUAGGGUAUGUGUUGGUAUGUGUCUGUGAUGUGUGUGUGGUUGUGUGGCAUGAGCUGGUGUGUGUCUGUAUGAUGUGUGUGGGGGGAGUGUGUGUAGUAUGUAGCAUGUGUUAGUGUAUGUGUGGUGUGGGGAAGAGUGUGGUGUGUGUGUGUGUGUGUGUGUGUACAUGAGGGAGCAUGGUAUAUGUGGCGAUAUGUUGCCAGGGGGUGCACGGGUCUGCAGAGCAUGGUGAGCCAUGCGUACGUGGUGGAGGGAGGUGGGAGAUGUGUGGUGUGUGGUGUGUGAUGCAGCGUGUGCUCCAGGAGAAGAGAUCCAGCGCCUGGUCUCGGGCGUGUUUUCCAUCCUCGAGCAUCCCAGCAUCUUGCUGACACUGAUCUGGGUCUGGGAACAUCUUUCCUGAAUAAACAUGAUGUCAUUUCCAUUCCAUUCAGCCUGAGCUGGGACAGCUGCUGUCAGCAUCACUGAGGGAAAUGCCACCUCGGCCCUGACAGCUGCCACUUGGCACACUUUGUAGAGAGCUUCUCGGGGAAGAAAAAAACCAGCCAGUCAUGCAGAUGCUAUUUAAAGUAUGUUGCAUCUUGAUGAGAAAUGUAGAGGAAGCUAAAGUGUGCUGGAGGGAUGGCUCAGGACCCUGGGCUAGAAGCGAGGGAGUCUUGGGUGCCUAUGGCAUAGGCUCCAUCGGUGUAUCUGGAGCUAAGUCUAGCCACCUCCCAUUUUACAGAUAAGGAAAUGGAGGCCUAGAAAGGGGAAGGCACUUGCCUGAGAUCGGAGAGCAUGUCAGAGUCACAGAACGUGAGAGCUAGAAGUUAUUGUCCAAAUUCUUAUAUCUAACUCCCACACAGUACCCAUGGGUAAAUGUGCGCCCAGAAGGAAGAAGUAGUUUGCCCAAAGUUCGUACAGCAAAUCAAUGGCAGAACUGAGGCUAGAACCCAGUUCCCAGGCAUGCGUAUUUGACCUCUGACUUGAACACACUCAUAGUCUCUGUCUUGCUUACAGUAGGAGCUAAACAAAUAUUUGUCAAAUGAGAUUUGCAUUGCUUUGAAUGGCUUAGAAAUGCAUUAAAUUAUUCUUUUCUUGUCCCUGCUUUUCACAGCCAGGAAUAUCAUGUGCCUGCCUUAUCUAGCCGCUCUGGAGCUUCCAGCAUCCUGGAAUUAGUAUCUACUGCAGCAGAAAAUAUGUAAGACACUCCUGGUCAGGCUGGGGACUUCACACUCUUUUAAGUGGGUGCCUUGAGUGUUCAGCAAACCCAGGUUUGAGUCUGACAUUUCCCCACUUCUCCUCCCUGCCCAAACUCCUUACAGUGACUUUCAAGGUUUUUCACCACCUGACCUCUUUCCACCUUCCCAUGCUCAUCACCAUCUCUUCCCAUUAACCAGUGAUCCUGUAAUUUCUCAUUCUCCCUGAGUAAGCUAUGUUCUUUCACACUUCCAUAUGUUUUUGCACAUGCUUCUGUCUUUCUCUGCCUGUCAAACUCCUACUCAUCCUUCAAGACCCUAUCCAGGAGUUCCCAUUCUGGCACAGCAGAAACAACCCUGACUAAUAUCCAUGAGGAUACGGGAUCAAUCCCUGGCCUUGAUCAGUGGGUUAAGGAUCUGGCAUUGCUGUGAGCAGUGGUGUAGGUCGCAGAUGAGGCUCAGAUCCCGUGUUGCUGUGGCUGUGGCACAGGCUGGCAGCCGUAGCUCUGAUUCAACCCCUAGCCUGUGCCACGCUUGCAGCCCCCCCAAAAGCAAAACUGUACUCUAAUAUCAUGAAACAGAGUAGCUAAACUUGGGCUCACAGCAUCUUGAACAUCCCUUGGUCAAGAAUCUUGCCACAAUGAGCUGAAUUUGAUGAUCUGAUUUCCCUGCAAGAUCAAGAGUAAUCAAGGGCGGGAAUAGAGGCUGAGCAAUGUCUAUAUCCCCAACAUCCAACUAGAGCCUGAAACAGAACAUGUUCUAAAGAUACGUUUAUUGAAUGAAUGCCCUGCACCGUGACUUGCUGAUAGGCCAUGGCGGAAACCCUGGUCCAGAAGCCCAGUCUGUCCCUGGAGAAAUGAAAGAAAGAAUGGUACCAGCAUGACACUGAAUUCCAGACCAACUUAAGAAGUCAUCCUUGAGUAAUUCAUAGAAUUCAGCCAAAUGUGUCUUUAAGAUCUUACCUCUACCCUUUCUGGGCCACCCCUCCCACUGUCUGACAACUCCACUCUCACACUCAAUCCUGCUACCUCACUGAUAUGCCUAAAGCAUCCACCAGGCUUGCUCUCUCUUGGUGGCCCAGGUCUCUAAAAUAACUUAUUUCUCCCUUAAGCUCCAGAAAAAUUCCAUUACUUUCAUGGAGACUGAUUAUCUUUUAUGUUGGGAAUUUUAUGAAGCAAUCUGACUUAUAAAAAUGUAUGAAGGAAAAGGACCUUAUUUGACUUUCUUAGAGACCUCUGAAAGAGAGAAGAAAGGAGUUGAGAAAUAUAUUAGUAAUAACAGGAUAUAACAAUAAAACAGAAUUGGAAUGAAUUCAGACAAGGAACACUUUCCCAAAAUUUACAAAAGUUUUGAAUGGCCAGAAAUGUACACAAUAGACUAUCUAUAGUUCCUCUGCUUUUUCUAUCAUUCCAUCUAACUGCUUUAGAGUACUGCUGAUACUGGCAUCCUGGUAAAAAUCAGUCUCAUCGAUAUUUAAAGUUCAGGUAAUCUUUAGAAUCUUCAAAAGUCCUUACUUUUAAUUUAUAGAAAACAUUAUCUUAUUUUUCUUUUAACUUACUAUUUCUUGGCCAAGCUUAUGGUAUGUGGAAGUCCCCUGGCCAGGGACCAAACCUGCGCCACAGCAGGUGACCCAAGAAGCUACUGCAGUGACAAUGCCAGAUCCUUA
rnacentral:lncRNA from 1 species